rnacentral:rRNA from 2 species
UGUUCGUUAUUUAGGGCGCAUGGUGGAUGCCUUGGCAUGCUGGGCCGAUGAAGGACGUGUAAGGCUGCGUUAAGCCUCGGGGAGUUGUCAAUAGAGCGUUGAUCCGAGGAUGUCCGAAUGGGGAAACCUGGCACCUGUUAUGGGGUGUUACCCUUCAGUGAAUUCAUAGCUGUUGUGGGGGUUUACGCGGGGAAGUGAAACAUCUCAGUACCCGUAGGAGAAGAAAAUAAAAUAUGAUUCUGCUAGUAGUGGCGAACGAACGUGGAUGAGGCUAAACCGUGUGCAUGUGAUACUUGGUAGGGGUUGUGUGUGCGGUGUUGUGGGCCCCAAUGUG